UUCCGGUUGAUCCUGCCGGAGGCUACCGCUAUUGGAGUUCGAUUAAGCCAUGCGAGUCGCGAGAAUUAGAUUCUCGGCGUACCGCUCAGUAACACGUGGGUAACCUGCCCUAUGCUGGAUAAUAACCUCGGGAAACUGAGAAUAAUGAUCUAUAGUUCACUACGCCUGGAACGGUGAGUGGAUGAAAGCCCCGGCGGCAUAGGAUGGGCCUGCGGCGUAUCAGGUUGUAGGGGGUGUAAUGUACCCUCUAGCCCUCUACGCGUACGGGUGUUGAGAGACAUUGCCCGGAGAUGGAUUCUGAGACACGAAUCCAGACCCUACGGGGUGCAGCAGGCGCGAAAACUUGGCAAUGCGAGAAAUCGUGACCAGGGAACUCCAAGUGCAUGGGGUAAGACCUAUGCUUUUCUAGACUCUAAAAAGGUCUUGGAAUAAGAGGUGGGUAAGGACGGUGCCAGCCGCCGCGGUAAUACCGGCGCCUCAAGUGGUAGUCGCUUUUAUUGGGCCUAAAACGCCCGUAGCCGGUCUGAUACAUUCGUGGGUAAAUCAACCAGCUUAACUGGUUGAAUUCUGCGAGGACGGUCAGACUUGGGACCGGGAGAGGUGUGGGGUACGCUCAGGGUAGGGGUAAAAUCCUGUCAUCCUGAGCGGACCACCUGUUGCGAAGGCGCCACACUAGAACGGAUCCGACGGUCAGGGACGAAGCCUAGGGGCACGAACCGGAUUAGAUACCCGGGUAGUCCUAGGUGUAAACGCUGUGGACUUGAUGUUGGGGGUGCUCCGAGCACUCUCAGUGUCGAAGCGAAGGCGAUAAGUCCACUGCCUGGGAAGUACGGUCGCAAGGCUGAAACUUAAAGGAAUUGGCGGGGGAGCACCGCAACCUGAGGAUUGUGCGGUUUAAUUGGAUUCAACGCCGG
rnacentral:rRNA from 1 species